UAACAACAAUAAUAACCCAUUGUAAUCCCACUUAGUAGAAUCUGGGAAGGUAAUGUGUACGCAAACCUUAUCCCUAUACGUGGGUAGAGAUGUUGUUUCUAAAUAGAUCUCCGACAUCCUUCCCUCCAAGAACUUCCCACCUUGCUCUUGGGGAAACUCGAACUCACAACCUCUCGGUUGGAAGUGGGGGUUGCUUACCAUCAGAGCAGCCCCUCUUGUCUAAAUAUUCA
rnacentral:lncRNA from 1 species